UUCCAAUUUCCAAGUCAUAAAAGUAAUAAAAAUUGAUAAAGAGCUGUGUCUGAAACCCAAGUCCUGUACAUUGGUAUGUAUAUUUCACAAUUACUUUAGACAAGCUCCCCCCCAUCUUUAUUGCUAAAAUGUGUAUACAUUUAUUGUAGACUCAAGAUUAAUUGAAAUAUUCAUAUAUUUGGAGUGACUGAAUUCGGUUAAUCAAUACAAAACAUGCCUGUUUUCCCGAUUCAACGAGAGCACCACUAGUAAUUACAGUGAGCAUGCUCAUUUCUUCGAAGUAUUUUCUUAUAUAAUUCAGUAAAGUGUUUAAACAUUUUAUAGAGUCUUUGAGAGUUUUAGUGAAUGUAUUUAAACAUAUUCACACCCACCCCUCCCAGGUCCGCCCCACUCUUCCCUGCUCGCCUCCAAUUCUGUGUGCCCAUUUUCACUUCUUGGUAACCCAUGGGAUCCAAAUCGUGCUGGCCAUAUACCCUUGGGUGUGAGGCCGCCCAUGGGAGUGCGGUUACCUACCAAAAUCCACACCUUUAAAGAGAACUGAUUCUCUUUUCCUCAGAGUGCAUUGGCCGUCAGCAGCUCCUCAGUUAGGGGUGGGGCUCGUGAGCCCCUCCCCCUUCAUGUUAGACUGUCGCCUGCCUGGCUCUUGUGCGGGACGGGACGCGUACAGGCAACCACAGGUAGGUACCGCGAGUUCCUGAAGGCAGCUGCCCUGUCCUGUCCAGAAGACGAUGUUUUGCUCCCAACCUUCAGUAAAUACAAGGUUCAUCUGUCCUAUUACUGAGGCGUUCCUUCAGUAGUAGAACGAACUGCCUCAGGAUUCCAGUGUAGACUCCUCCAGAACUCCAGCAGCAGAUUGGGACUGCUCAGACAUCCAGUCUUGAGAACUGGACAACUACCAGAUCCUCAGCCUUCCCAUUGCAAGACAACCACCACAUCAUGAUUGGCUCAGACUUGGAGUUUUUACGAGGAAACUGAGCCGUGCACCCCAGCUACCUUGUGGCUUCCUGCUCAGUUUACUAAAAUCAUUCUCAAACCUGGGCUCUGUAACCCUUUGAAGUCCUUUAUACAUAUGGUAAGAGCUUCUCCAGUUAAAACUGGGUCAUAUAAGCCAUGAAUCUGUUUAAGUCCUACUUAAAUGUUUCUGUGCUCCCUGUCCCUUGUGUACUGUGGAGAUGUUAUUCUUUCCCAGAAUGCCCUUCCUAUAGGGAACUUUCGACGAAUCUAAAAAGAGAAUCAGAACACUGGGAUUAAUCCAUAAUGUUAUCACGUUUGGUUCCCCCCAACCCUCAACACAACCCCCCAUUUCUUUUUUCCUUUCUCUCAUUAA